rnacentral:rRNA from 1 species
ACCAGACUCCUACGGGAGGCAGCAGUGGGGAAUAUUGCACAAUGGGCGAAAGCCUGAUGCAGCGACGCCGCGUGAGUGAAGAAGUAUUUCGGUAUGUAAAGCUCUAUCAGCAGGGAAGAAAAUGACGGUACCUGACUAAGAAGCCCCGGCUAACUACGUGCCAGCAGCCGCGGUAAUACGUAGGGGGCAAGCGUUAUCCGGAAUUACUGGGUGUAAAGGGUGCGUAGGUGGCAUGGUAAGUCAGAAGUGAAAGCCCGGGGCUUAACCCCGGGACUGCUUUUGAAACUGCCAUGCUGGAGUGCAGGAGAGGUAAGCGGAAUUCCUAGUGUAGCGGUGAAAUGCGUAGAUAUUAGGAGGAACACCAGUGGCGAAGGCGGCUUACUGGACUGUCACUGACACUGAUGCACGAAAGCGUGGGGAGCAAACAGGAUUAGAUACCCGCGUAU